rnacentral:rRNA from 1 species
UGGGGGAUAUUGCACAAUGGGCGAAAGCCUGAUGCAGCGACGCCGCGUGGGGGAUGAAGGCUUUCGGGUUGUAAACCUCUUUCGCUAUCGAACAAGGCCUGCUUAGGGUGGGUUGAGGGUAGGUGGAGAAGAAGCGCCGGCUAACUACGUGCCAGCAGCCGCGGUAAUACGUAGGGCGCGAGCGUUGUCCGGAAUUAUUGGGCGUAAAGGGCUUGUAGGCGGCUUGUUGCGCCUGCUGUGAAAACGCGGGGCUUAACUUCGCGCGUGCAGUGGGUACGGGCAGGCUUGAGUGUGGUAGGGGUGACUGGAAUUCCAGGUGUAGCGGAGGAAUGCGCAGAUAUCUGGAGGAACACCGAUGGCGAAGGCAGGUCACUGGGCCAUUACUGACGCUGAGGAGCGAAAGCAUGGGUAGCGAACAGG